rnacentral:rRNA from 1 species
CAGUAGCCGCGGUAAUACGGAGGGGGCUAGUGUUGUUCGGAAUUACUGGGCGUAAAGCGCACGUAGGCGGCUUGGUAAGUUAGAGGUGAAAGCCCGGAGCUCAACUCCGGAAUUGCCUUUAAGACUGCCGAGCUAGUAGGUGAGAGAGGUAAGUGGAAUUCCGAGUGUAGAGGUGAAAUUCGUAGAUAUUCGGAAGAACACCAGUGGCGAAGGCGGCUUACUGGCUCAUACUGGACGCUGAGGUGCGAAAGCGUGGGGAGCAAACAGGAUUAGAUACCCCAGUAGUCCCUGUCUCUUAUAC